GCAUCGAUGAAGAACGCAGCGAAAUGCGAUACGUAAUGUGAAUUGCAGAUUUCAGUGAAUCAUCGAAUCUUUGAACGCACAUUGCGCCCGCUAGUAUUCUGGCGGGCAUGCCUGUUCGAGCGUCAUUUCAACCAUCAAGCCCCCGGCUUGCGUUGGAGCCCUGCGGCUGCCGCAGGCUCCCAAAUCCAGUGGCGGGCUCGUCGUCGUACCGAGUGCAGUAAACAUCCUCGCUCAGGGAACGCGUCGGGUUCUUGCCGUGAAACACCCCACAUAUCAAGGUUGACCUCGGAUCAGGUAGGAAUACCCGCUGAACUUAAGCAUAUCAAUAAGCGGAGGA
rnacentral:misc_RNA from 1 species